GAUGAACGCUGGCGGCGUGCCUAACACAUGCAAGUCGAGCGCAGGAAGCCGUCCGAACCCUUCGGGGGGACGACGGUGGAAUGAGCGGCGGACGGGUGAGUAACACGUAAAGAACCUACCCAUAGGUCUGGGAUAACCACGAGAAAUCGGGGCUAAUACCGGAUGUGUCAUCGGACCGCAUGGUCCGCUGAUGAAAGGCGCUCCGGCGUCGCCCAUGGAUGGCUUUGCGGUGCAUUAGCUAGUUGGUGGGGUAACGGCCCACCAAGGCGACGAUGCAUAGCCGACCUGAGAGGGUGAUCGGCCACACUGGGACUGAGACACGGCCCAGACUCCUACGGGAGGCAGCAGUAGGGAAUCUUCCACAAUGGACGAAAGUCUGAUGGAGCAACGCCGCGUGAACGAUGAAGGCUUUCGGGUCGUAAAGUUCUGUUGUAAGGGAAGAACAAGUGCCGCAGGCAAUGGCGGCACCUUGACGGUACCUUGCGAGAAAGCCACGGCUAACUACGUGCCAGCCGCCGCCGUAA
rnacentral:rRNA from 1 species